AAGACAUUGUAUCCUUGCAUCUAGCUGAAUACCUGCAAAAAAUGGCUUCCUUCAAGUUAUCAGUGAUUGCCUUAUUGGCCAUUGGGCUUUACCUGGACACGGUCUGUGCUGCUUCUAUAACCUUGGAAGAAGAAGCUGAGAUAAUAGUGAACAGUACAAUAACUGACCUUACAGAAUCAACUUCUGCGAUUCUAAGCAGUGACGCUGCGGUCGAUUUGGAACAAUUGAUUGAGGAAAUUAACAACACUGCAGCGAUGAAAGAGCUUGAUGCACAAAUUGUUGAACUUCUAAACAGUGACGCUGUGGUUGAAUUGGAACAAAAGGAUGCGGAAUUUCUAAACAGUUCAGUGGUGACUGACGUUUAUGAUGCAGUUGCCAAACUUGUAAACAGGUACCCAUCCUCUCUCUCCUUCAUGCCUCUAGCUCUCUAUUCCAUUUGCGAUCUCUCCUUGACUCUAGCCUUUCUCAUGACCUGCCUAGAAGGUGUGGGUUACUGGCCUUAAUUAACAGAGGUCAGAAGACCUCAACGCAAUGGGGCCGUCGCACCUUGUUCAGUCAAUUCCAGAUGUUCAUCGAUUUAUUUACUUUCUAACCAAAGUGGUUUGUUUUAUACUUGACAUUUAUUCCAUCAAUUUACGACAUUCUGUGAGAAAAAUUUCAAAUUAAGGUUAAAUAUGAAAUGAACCUUACCGUGGCCAGUUCUGCUAUUGCUUGCAGACUACUGUGGGUGCUACAAAUGCAUAACAUUGCAUGCAAAUAGAUUGAGAUGCUUCUGCUUAUGUACUCAAUUGGUAUCCUUCUCUUUCUCCUUCACAGUACAGCUAUGGCUGAACUAGGAGAAGCACUCCAGGCAGUUCUGGAAAGUCCAGAUAUGGAAAAGAUUUCUACAGCAUUGGAGAAUAUUCUGGAAUCGUAAGUAACCAUUCGCUCUCUUCAAUGAUCGAAUCUAAUCUAAUUAUCUAAUUUAGUACAAACAUUAUCAAUGAAUCAGUAUGUAUGGAAUUUGUGGUAUCAAAUCAAUGGCGUCGCUUUUUUUCCUUUACAGGGACGAUUUUGCUUCUCUACGUGUUGCAUUGAAAGUGGCGUAAGAUUCCCCUCUGCUCAAUCCUUCUACCUCCGUCAUAUGCAUCUCUAUAUUAUCUCUCAUUUAGUACAUUAUAUUAUCUGGUCAACUUAAACAAAAUACAAUUCUAUAGAAAGGCCAUUGCCGUAAAACUGUACUAUAGUACAAUCCACUGUUGUACAUGUCUUAAUUAGUAUACUUAAAGGGCUAAAACACAAUGCCAUUUUGGCACCUUAGCGCAGAACUACUGUAUGACUUUAAUGGUAGCUUACAUUAAGAGGUAAAAAUUUAAUCUUACGAAGCGUCAACUUUCUCUUUCGUUUUUUCAGUUCUGACCAGGAGGAGAGUGCAUUUGUCACCGAAGAAGACGCUGAAUUAUCUCCUUCUCUUAAGGGAUUUGCACAGUGCUUGGAAUCUUCUGCUCAGUAGUGGCUUUUGGUCCACUUCCUACAGAGGUGCACUCUCCUUGCUACCUCGGAACGCAUCUUUCAAGCAUCUCCACGGUGAACAGGAACCAAAUGCUGUGAUGUUCUUUUUCUCUUCUCAAGAUAACUGAAAAGUGAUCAACCUUAAAAUAAAAACUUUCUUGCAUUCAA
ensembl:lncRNA